CAGUGUGGGCGGGCUUUUAUCUCUUCUCCUGAAUCGAAUUAAUCAGUAGUGAUGGGAAGUUCGGUUCUUUUCCGCGAACCGGUUCUUUCGGACAGUUCGAUUUAAUGAGCCAGUUCAAAAAUCCAGUUCACCAGUUCUUAUACGUCCUGACGCAAAUUCCAUCAUCCCGCUGCCGGCAGGGUUAGGCCACAUGUUUUCGUCAACAUCACAUCUGAUAUCAUCUAAGGCGAUGCACCUGGGAUAAAAUCGCUUGGUAUGUUGGAUCCACCCUUGGCAAUCUUGAACUGUGAUGUCCCUGCAGCCAGCAUCCAUGGCUUCAAGGAGGGACAUCUGGUCAUGUGGCUGAUGGUCAUAAACCUUCCACCUCCAUACAGAAAAGAACUCCACUAUGGGGUUGAGGAAAGGUGAAUAGGGUGGAACGAAGAGACUUACCAGUCUUGGGUGGACUUCAAACCAUGCUGUUAUUGCUUGCGAAUGAUGGAAAGCAACUUUUUCUCAGGUAAUUACAAAUGUCCUCAUGUUUUCACCCUCCUGAUCCUGCUCUGGUACCAGGCGCUGGUGGAGAUCAUUGAGAGAGGCAAGGAGGCGUUCGGUAUUAUAGGGUCCAACCUGACAUCUGUGAAGGAGUAAUCCUGCAUUUGCCAUUGCUGCACACAUGCUCAGGUGUCCUCAGUGAAAUUGUCCUACAGCUGCUUGUUUCCGGAGGUCAGGAGAGUGUUCUGUUCUGCUGAUGGAGACAACCUUCACUACAGCUGGACUUCUGCGUUUAACACUCGUUUGGAGGACAACAACAAAACUAUUGUACUGGAUAUAAUACAUAAUAAUAAUAAUGUCACCUGUCAUGUUGAAAAUCACGUCAGUCAUGAGCACAAUUCCAUUAACCUCCCGACAUGUAUUGAUUUCAUGAUCGUGUUUGUGCUCGUGUGGCUCUUUGAGGUCAUCAUCCUGCUGUCUGUGUUAGUGGGCUCACUGUACAUUUACCCCAGAAUCUACAGGAAACAGAGGACACCAGAGAGACCAGGAAGCUCUGUAACCCUGAACAAGGAUUAGAAGAGGCAGUCCGUGGCUGAUCUCCUCUAUAUGAGCAGGCAUCGCUCUCCGUCUCAUCCAGACUAAAACCUGAUAAAACUGUAACCAUUACCAUAACAGUGUAACAGUGCUAUCUGAUUACCAACCUUGCUAUUGCUCUCUGUUUU